rnacentral:tRNA from 1 species
CCCGCCGUAGCUCAGUCUGGCAGAGCGCUCGGCUGUAGACCGAGAUGUCCCCAGUUCAAAUCCGGGCGGCGGGA